CCACGGUCAUUAUGACAUCCAAGAAGGCAGUUCAGGGCCACCCACAACUUGAUCCAUUUCACUUGUCCAGAGGUCACCACAAGCGAUGUUCUUGUGAGCCUUACUUUGCCCAGGCAGGUGUGCUUACAAGGAGUCUACAUGAACAGCAUCUGACUGGGCAGGGCAUGGCACACAGCUUGGCCUCGAGGUUAGAGGAGCUGAUUAGUGUACUUCCUACUCUCUUCUUCAGUUUUUUUCUUUCUUUAUUCUCACAAUACCUUGCCCACUGCACUCAGUAUUUAGCUCCAGACAUUGAAAAAAAAAUGCCCUACUGCCAUCAAUCUUACAUCCCAACUCUUUGAGGAUCUUGUCACUUUCUAUGUGUAUCUCUGCACAAAAAUGAGGGACACUGGAAGAAGUUCACUCUCUUCCAGUUCUUUCCCUUUUCUAACCUGUACUUGUGGAUGAUACUGGAAAUUUAAAAACACUGGUAGCAUCCUCAAAAUGCCUGGAAUGCAGGUGGCUCCCUAGACCCUCAUAACAUCAUGGCAUGUAGCCAAGGACAUAUACUGCUCCAACACUAGAACUGCUCCGAAGUCAACCACAAAUCAUGUUCCUGGUGAGCCUAACUCUACCAAGACAGGUACUGACUACACAAGAUCUACAAGAUAAGUACCUUAUAGGCAGAGCAUUAUACACAGCAGGGCUGUGUCUGAUCAUCCAUCCCAAGACCCUAUGCUGUGUUAGAAGAACCUAUGAUUUCUGUCCCCAUCACAUCUUUGUGGCCUCAUGCAAGAUAUAGCCAGAUCCCUAGAUAAUAUCCACUCACUGCUUUGUAACCAAAAUCUCUUGAUCACUAGAUAUCCAAGGUCCACUUCUCUUGCCUACUUGAAAUCUACAAAAACUGAGAGAGACUAGAAUAUCGUAUCUCUCUUUCAUAGGAAUCAAUUUUCCCUCUGUAAGCUUUCUAUUUUUACAUUGUGAAGAUAGGCCCACUGGUAUCAACCUGAGGAAGCCAGCGCCACAGAUCCCUCUCAGGGUCAUUAUGACAUCAAGGCAGGCAACUCAAGGAAAUAUGCAACUCCACCCACACCACUGGUCCAAAGCCAGCACAAAUGAUGUUAUUGUGAGUCUUACUCUAUCCAGGCAGGUCCUUGCACGGAAAAUUUAAGUGAAAAGCACCUGUCUGAGCAGGGCAUGGCACACUGCUUAGCCUGGAGGUGGAGGACCUGCUUAGUUCACUUCCCACACUCCUUCAAUUUUCUUCUCCUCAACACACAUAGCUAACUGCACUGAAGAUUUAGCUACAUACAUUGAAAACGUUGACCCACGGCCCCGAAGCUUGACUCUGACCUAAUCAGGAUCUGACUACCAUUCUAUGUGUAUCUGCAUGAGAUGAGUUACCAUGGCUAAAAGCUUUCUCCCUUUAAUUCCUUUUCUGAUAUGAACACUGUUUCUCUUUUCUAUCCUGUAGAUGCUGAUGCUAUUAAAAAUAUUCAAGCAAAAGAAAUAUCCUAAAGAUGCCUAUGACCAUGUGGCUGCCAGGACUCUUAUGACAUCAUGGCAAGCAGCCCAAGAACACAUGCAGCUGCAACACUAGAACUGUUCCAAGGUCAAGCACAAAUGAUGUUCCUGUGAGCCUUACUCUACCCAGACAGAUACUGAUUACACAUGGUCUACAUGAAAUCACCUUUACAUCUGUAUACUCUGUGUUCACAUUGAGAAGAGAAGACCAAUGAAAUCAUCUUGAGGAAGUUGGAGCCGCACAUAGCCCAGGGUGACAAUGGAGUCAAAACUGGCAGGUAUCACCUUGCCCUCUGUAAAAUCUCUGUGUUCACAUUGUGAGGAGAAGACCUCUGACAUCUUCCCGAGAAUGCUAGAGGCACAAAUGAAACCAGGGUCAUUAUGACAUCAAGGACAAUUCCGGGCCACCCGCAAUUCCAUCCAUGUCACUGGUCCAGAGGCCACCACAAAUGAUGUUAUGGUGAGCUUUACUCUACACAGUCAGGCCGUUCACAGGGAGUCUACGUGAACAGCACCUGAAUGGACAAGGCGCUGCACACAGCAAGGCACCAAGGGUAAGGCCAUAUACUCUGGACUGCUCAGUUUAUCAUCUAGCUUUGAGAAAACUACCCAUUAGAUCCUGAUGAAUGCACACAUGAUUUUCUUUAUUCUUAGAACAUGUUAUCUCACUGCCUUUCAAUUUUCAUCCUACUCCCUUUCAUAACUUCCUCACAAGUUCUCUGUACUACAGGAGAAUGUUGAGAUCCCAGAGACAUUCAGCAUGUUCCAGUUCUAUGAUAAACUAUUGAGAAGUAUCCUUCCUUUACCCAGAUUAUCAGAUUUCAGUAUUUCAGAGUGGACCACGGAAAUCACAGUCACAUAACAGAUAUCUUCAAGACUCCUACAGCACUCCUGAAUUUAUGGAAGAAUGCUCAGAGUCACGAGCAAACCUAUACACAAGACUGCCCCAGAGGCCACCACAGGACAUAUUAUUGUUGCACAUUACACAACCCAGAAAGGCACUAUGUACAUCUAGUUUACGUGAAUAGUGCCUGUCUGGGCAGGGCACUGCACAUGCCAUGGCCUCAUGGUGGAAAACCUCUUCACGCACCACAUUCCACACUGUGAUGAAGUUUCCUUCCCUAUAAGCACCAUACCUUGAUGACUGCACCCAAGAUUUAGCUCUGGACCUAGAAAAAGCUGACCCACUACACUCAAACAUGGAUCACACACCUCUCUCAGGAUGUCAUCAUUUGUUCUCCAUGUAUCUGCACCAGGAUGAGGUUCCAUGAGUAAAAGCUUACUCCCUUUCCUUCGUUUCUUUAUAGGAACUGUGUUUCCAUUGUUAAGCUGUAGGUGCUAAUGUUUGUAGGAAUACUCAAACACUGGAAGAAGCAUCCUCAAAAUGCCUAAUGCCGCAGGUUCCCUGGACCUUCAAAAUACCAUGGCAAGUGUCAGAUGGCCACAUAUAGCUCCAGCACUAGAACUGCUCUAAUGUCCACCACAAAUCUCAUUCCUUGUAGCCUUAUUAUAUGCUGAUUACAUGAGGUCUGCAGGAUCAAUACCUGUCUAGGCGGGAUAUUGCUCACAGCAGGGCUGUCUCUCAUCAAUCUAGCCAAGAACUGCACUCGAGCUAUACCCAGACCAAUAGAGAAUAUCCACCUAUUGAUUGCAACCUGUAUAUCUCCUUCUCUCGAUGGCGAACAUCCACUUCUCUAAGCCUUCUUGAUAUGUACAAAACCUGACAUGUACAGACACACACAGACAGAAAGAGAGAGUGACA
ensembl:lncRNA